rnacentral:rRNA from 1 species
UCUGAUGUGAAAGCCCACGGCUCAACCGUGGAGGGUCAUUGGAAACUGGGGGACUUGAGUGCAGAAGAGGAGAGCGGAAUUCCACGUGUAGCGGUGAAAUGCAUAGAGAUGUGGAGGAACACCAGUGGCGAAGGCGGCUCUCUGGUCUGUAACUGACGCUGAGGCGCGAAAGCGUGGGGAGCGAACAGGAUUAGAUACCCUGGUAGUCCACGCCGUAAACGAUGAGUGCUAAGUGUUAGAGGGUUUCCGCCCUUUAGUGCUGCAGCAAACGCAUUAAGCACUCCGCCUGGGGAGUACGGUCGCAAGACUGAAACUCAAAGGAAUUGACGGGGGCCCGCACAAGCGGUGGAGCAUGUGGUUUAAUUCGAAGCAACGCGAAGAACCUUACCAGGUCUUGACAUCCUCUGACACUCCUAGAGAUAGGACGUUCCCCUUCGGGGGACAGAGUGACAGGUGGUGCAUGGUUGUCGUCAGCUCGUGUCGUGAGAUGUUGGGUUAAGUCCCGCAACGAGCGCAACCCUUGAUCUUAGUUGCCAGCAUUUAGUUGGGCACUCUAAGGUGACUGCCGGUGACAAACCGGAGGAAGGUGGGGAUGACGUCAAAUCAUCAUGCCCCUUAUGACCUGGGCUACACACGUGCUACAAUGGAUGGUACAAAGGGCAGCAAAACCGCGAGGUUAAGCCAAUCCCAUAAAACCAUUCUCAGUUCGGAUUGCAGGCUGCAACUCGCCUGCAUGAAGCCGGAAUCGCUAGUAAUCGCGGAUCAGCAUGCCGCGGUUGAAUACGUUCCCGGGCCUUG